rnacentral:misc_RNA from 1 species
AGUGUCUUGAUCCAAUUACUUGACGGAUAAUAUGCUAAACAUAAAAAACUGAAAUUGAGAAUAUUCUGACUCUAUUUGAGCUUAUAUGUUUGCAAAGACAAUAAAUAAAAUUUGAACAUGGGAGAAAGGAAAUUGCAAAAAAAAGAUGUGGCAGAGAGCAUAACCCCAGAGGAAGAUUUCAUGGAUUCAACAACUCUCUCAGCUCCCGAGACUCUGUCCCCUGCUCCAUCAACGUGAGCUUUUCAAAUGGAUAUUGGAAGAGAAGAAAAGUCAAACCCAAGGAUCGGGAAGAGAAGAAAUGAAUUGAUGAAGAGAAAGACAUCCUCAAACAGUUCAUAAGGGCGAAGUCUAAGUUUUUAAAUGAUGUUUCUAACCUAAUUUUUCCAUGUCAACAAUUUUUUUUUUUUUUACCUCUCUCUCUCUCUUUUGCGCAUUGAUUCACACACAAUGAUGACUAGGUUCACAAGGUUCUCUUAAUUCCACUAUUGAAAAUCUAAGGUGUGAGAUAGCACAUUUUAAAAGUUCGGGAUGCCACUAGUCGCUUUUAGUAAAGUUCAGGUGCGAAUUUAUGUAUUCGACCUUUAUUUUUAUUUUUGCUUUUUUUUGACUUUUUCUCUAUAUCCUAGUUGAUGGUAUUUUUUCAAUAAUGGCAUGCCUCUCAUUAAUCAAAGUUAUUAAUCCUAGAAAUGCAAGCCUCAAAAUGUAGGGUAUGAUUUGACAUCCAUCAAAGUAGGCCCCAUCGAGCUAGACUUUAAUGCAUGAGUUUGGAAGCAAAAACCUCAUGGCACGUUUGCUUGACUUUGGCAUUCUAAAAGUCGUGGCAAGUAAUACAAUAAGAUUCCAUAUUAUUCGAUUAGCAUCACAACAAUAUGAUUUGCUACAUAUGCAAAAUGGUUUCAGCAUUUAUAUUGAAACCUACCACUUUUAGGUUUUGAAGGUUUGUCAUCUUUACAGCUUACAAGUCUUAGGAUGUAAAAUUUUUAUUGAACAAGAUAACAUGUUCAACUUCUAGCUAUUUUACCACCAAAAUAACUCCACAUAAUAAAUUUUACAGAUGCAAUGGCACAAUAACCAAAGUCACGAUCAGCAUGUCAUAGUAGCAAGGCCAAAAUAUGCUCGCAGUGAGAUCUAGAUGCUGCCUAAGGAUUUGGAAAUAAUAUACCUUGCUAAGAAAUGGCUUUAAAGUUCUACACGGACCACAAGUUGGUGCUCUAUAUAGUACACAUAUGAGCCGUGGACUUUCAUGGUACAACUUUUGUAGAGCGUAUUGGCCCUUAUGCUUUGUAAGUGUAAUGUCAAAGCCCUCUUGAACGUCUCUGUCAGUUGGUUCCUUCUUAACCUCUUGUGUUGGAGGCCGUAAUACAGAAUCAUGAAAAACAAGUGAAGUUAGCUGGGACCAUGGGAAUAUACAGACUAUCAAAAAUAACUCCAGAUUUUACACAAUUUCAGAAUACCAAAUUAUUAAUGAGAAGAACUUAUGUCAAGACAACUUGCAACCUUUCACGUCACAUGCCAGAUUUUUAGUUUUCAUGUAUUGAUUCCAAUAUCAGAGAAACAAAUUUUAACCAAAUACAAAAGUUCAAAUCCUUCUUUUGUGAAUAUAUUCCAACUUAUUUGUUUUAAAUACCCAAAUGUGAAUGAGUAUACCUAUAUCUCAAGACAACUUGCACAUUUCACAUUUCACAUCAGUCUAUUGAGUUUUUCAACCUACAUGUAUUCAUUCAAAUAUUAGAGAAAUGACAUUCACCCAAAAUUUGAACUUCAAAACAUUGCUUUAUAAAAUAGUUUAUUAUUUUAAUGCAUCAAUUUCAAGCUAUGAUUAUCUUAUGAAAUUAAGUGUUGAUUAUUGAUGGAUGAAAUUGAGUGCUGAUUUUGUUUCCGAUUGUAAAAUAGUCAAUUUUGCUUCCGGUUAUAAAACAGGAUAUGAAUUUCCUUUGCUGCUAGCCUACUAAUCAAAAACUGCUGCCAGAUGGUAUAAAUUGAUAUCGAGAAGUGGGAGAGGCGUAUGUUUGAGCACCACUAUGGAGUGGCCAGUGUUGUGAAAAUAAACUUUUAAAAAAUAGGAGCUUUGAUCUUUUAAAUGCUAUCGUUGGAAAGUUUUAGACCUUCAGUUUGCAACUGCUUGGUUAAGAAGAAUUGGGAUUUUGCUUAAUUAUUUUGCUCAAAAUUUCUAUCAUAAAAGCAAGAUAGUGAAAAAGGGGGAAAAAACUUCUGUGGAUGUGUUUCUGAAGAAUGUGAACUGCACAAGAGAAGAGUAACCUUGAACCUUUGAUUAGUCUGAAACAAGCCCAAAAAGAAUGCCAAAACUCAGCCCACAACUGAUGAACCAAACUGGACCGAAAAGAAUUGGUUCGAUUUAGACUUCUAAUAGGUUUGGUUUAAACCGACCGAUGCCCACCCCUACCAACUAUUCACCAGAAAAUGUUAAAUUUAGACAAUGGAUUGACCAGCUUCUAGCAUCAAAAGCUUUGUUGUCAUGUAUAAUUACUAAGAAAUACUACAUGAAGCGUUAUUAAAUAUUCUGGUUAUGUCUUUCCCCGCAGUUUAAAGAACAUAACAUAGUGUGAAGCAACUACUUGAGAACAAGAAGAUCAUAGAACAGAUGGGAAUGUGGUCUAUCUAAGAAAUAAGUAGAGAGCAUAAAGUUGGGCUUCAAUAUAAUGAGAUGCUUUCUUUCUUUCUCCUUUCUCUUUUCCCACAGAAGGGGAGAGUGGAGAAUGAAU